rnacentral:rRNA from 1 species
CCUACGGGUGGCAGCAGUGGGGAAUAUUGGACAAUGGGGGGAACCCUGAUCCAGCCAUGCCGCGUGUGUGAAGAAGGCCCUCGGGUUGUAAAGCACUUUCAGUGAGGAAGAACGCCUGGUGGUUAAUACCCAUCAGGAAAGACAUCACUCACAGAAGAAGCACCGGCUAACUCCGUGCCAGCAGCCGCGGUAAUACGGAGGGUGCGAGCGUUAAUCGGAAUUACUGGGCGUAAAGCGCGCGUAGGUGGCUUGAUAAGCCGGUUGUGAAAGCCCCGGGCUCAACCUGGGAACGGCAUCCGGAACUGUCAAGCUAGAGUGCAGGAGAGGAAGGUAGAAUUCCCGGUGUAGCGGUGAAAUGCGUAGAGAUCGGGAGGAAUACCAGUGGCGAAGGCGGCCUUCUGGACUGACACUGACACUGAGGUGCGAAAGUGUGGGUAGCAAACAGGAUUAGAUACCCCAGUAGUC